UACGGGGAGGGUAAGCGUUGUUCGGAAUUACUGGGCGUAAAGGGCUCGUAGGCGGCCAACUAAGUCAUACGUGAAAUCCCUCAGCUUAACUGGGGAACUGCGUGUGAUACUGGAUGGCUUGGAUUUGGGAGAGGGAUGCGGAAUUCCAGGUGUAGCGGUGAAAUGCGUAGAUAUCUGGAGGAACACCGGUGGCGAAGGCGGCAUCCUGGACAGUGACUGACGCUGAGACGCGAAAGCGUGGGGAGCAAACAGG
rnacentral:rRNA from 1 species